rnacentral:sRNA from 1 species
CUCGCCCUACCCGGCGCGCUCCUGCUGAGGGUCGCCGGAGAUGUCGCUCGGCCGCCUUCUACCAGGAGCCUGAUCCGUGCCGCCUGCCGCCCGGAUGGGACCACCAGAGUGCUCUAAAGUCUCCAGUGAAUAUUGAAUUGCUGAGGAUUUUGGGAAAAGAGAAAUCAAAGUUCCCAUUCCAUGGAUCCCUUAGGUGCACCUUCCCAGUUUGUGGAUGUGGAUACACUACCAAGCUGGGGUGACUCAUGCCAAGAUGAAUUAAAUUCCUCUGAUACUACAGCUGAAAUAUUUCAGGAAGACACUGUUCGAUCACCUUUUCUUUAUAAUAAGGACGUCAAUGGAAAAGUGGUUCUUUGGAAAGGAGAUGUGGCAUUACUGAACUGUACAGCCAUUGUGAAUACCAGCAAUGAAAGUCUCACAGAUAAGAAUCCUGUGUCAGAAAGUAUCUUCAUGCUUGCAGGGCCUGAUUUGAAGGAAGAUCUCCAGAAACUUAAAGCUGUGCCUGGGGUUCUGGAAUCCAGAAACUCUCUAGUUGAGCAUCUCCAGAGAAUAAACUUCUUCCCUGCUGCUCUGGUGGGUGCCGAACAGGUGAAGCAAAAUUGACAAAAGGAUUCAAUCUAGCUGCCCGGUUCAUCAUUCACACAGUGGGACCUAAAUAUAAGAACCGCUAUCGCACAGCAGCUGAGAGUUCCCUUUAUAGCUGCUACAGAAACGUACUUCAACUAGCAAA